GUAGGUGGCAAGCGUUGUCCGGAAUUAUUGGGCGUAAAGCGCGCGCAGGCGGUUCUUUAAGUCUGAUGUGAAAGCCCACGGCUCAACCGUGGAGGGUCAUUGGAAACUGGAGAACUUGAGUACAGAAGAGGAAAGCGGAAUUCCACGUGUAGCGGUGAAAUGCGUAGAGAUGUGGAGGAACACCAGUGGCGAAGGCGGCUUUCUGGUCUGUAACUGACGCUGAGGCGCGUAAGCGUGGGGAGCAAACAGGGAUUAGAUACCCUGGUAGUCCACGCCGUAAACGAUGAGUGCUAAGUGUUAGGGGGUUUCCGCCCCCUUAGUGCUGCAGCUAACGCAUUAAGCACUCCGCCUGGGGAGUACGGCCGCAAGGCUG
rnacentral:rRNA from 1 species